AUUGAACGCUGGCGGCAGGCCUAACACAUGCAAGUCGAGCGGAGCGGCGGACGGGUGAGUAAUGCCUGGGAAUCUGCCUGGUAGUGGGGGCUAACGUCCGGAAACGGGCGCUAAUACCGCAUACUAUCAUCUGCGCCUCGUUCGUAUUAGCUAGUUGUGGGGUUAAAGGCCUACCAAGGCGACGAUCCGUAACUAGUCUGAGAGGAAGAUCAGUCACACUGGAACUGAGACACGGUCCAGACGCCAACGGGAGGCAGCAUGGGGGAAUAUUGGACAAUGGGCGAAAGCCGGAUCCAGCCAGGCCGCGUGUGUGAAGAAGGUCUUCGGAUUGUAAAGCACUUUAAGUUGGGAGGCGUGACCAACAGAAUAAGCACCGGCUAACUUCGUGCCAGCAGCCGCGGUAAUUC
rnacentral:rRNA from 1 species